AUUGAACGCUGGCGGCAGGCCUAACACAUGCAAGUCGAACGAGUGGCGGACGGGUGAGGAAUGUCUGGGCAACUGCCUGCUGGAGGGGGAUAACUACUGGAAACGGUAGCUAAUACCGCAUACCAUCGGAUGUGCCCAGAUGGGAUUAGCUAGUAGGUGGGGUAAAGGCUCACCUAGGCGAAGCUCCCUAGCUGGUCUGAGAGGAUGACCAGCCACAUGGGAACUGAGACACGGUCCAGACUCCGACGGGAGGCAGCAGUGGGGAAUAUUGGACAAUGGGCGAAAGCCGGAUGCAGCCAUGCCGCGUGUAUGAAGAAGGCCUUCGGGUUGUAAAGUACUUUCAGCGGGGAGGCGUUACCCGCAGAAGAAGCACCGGCUAACUCCGUGCCAGCAGCCGCGGUAAUAC
rnacentral:rRNA from 1 species